GCCUGGGUGGCUCAAUUGGUUAAGCAUCUGACUUCAGCUCAGGUCACAAUCUCAUAGUUGGUGGGUUUGAGCCCCACAUUGGGCC
rnacentral:tRNA from 1 species